UACAGUAUAGCUUAGUGUUAGAGUAUGUACCUAACAUGUACAAGUCCCUGGGUUCAAUCCCUAGCACUAAAA
rnacentral:tRNA from 1 species